GACGAACGCUGGCGGCGUGCUUAACACAUGCAAGUCGAACGGAAAGGCUCCAGCUUGCUGGAGUACUCGAGUGGCGAACGGGUGAGUAACACGUGGGUAAUCUGCCCUGCACUCUGGGAUAAGCCUGGGAAACUGGGUCUAAUACUGGAUAUGACCUUUCUCCUUAUGGGGUUUGGUGGAAAGUUUUUCGGUUUAGGAUGAGCCCGCGGCCUAUCAGCUUGUUGGUGGGGUGAUGGCCUACCAAGGCGACGCCGGGUAGCCGGCCUGAGCGGGGGAUCGGCCACAUGAGGACUGAGAGACGCAGCAGACUCCUACGGGAGGCAGCAGUGGGGAAUAUUGCGCAAUGGGCGGAAGCCUGAUGCAGCGACGCCGCGUGCGGGAUAACGGCCUUCGGGUUGUAAACCUCUUUCUACAGGGACGAAGCGUAAGUGACGGUACCUGCAGAAGAAGCACCGGCUAACUAUGUG
rnacentral:rRNA from 1 species